rfam:Triticum aestivum genome assembly, contig: Triticum_aestivum_CS42_TGACv1_scaffold_224396_3B
UGUGUACUCCCUCCGUUCCAAAAUACUUGACUUCCAUUUGUCCAAAAAUGGAUGUACCUAUAUACUAAAACAUGUCUAGAUACAUCUAUAUUUUGACAAAUAGAAGGCAUGUAUUGUGGAAUGGAGGCAGUAGAAU